CACAAAAGAAGUGAAAAUGGCCUGUUCCUGCCUUAACUGAUGACAUUAUCUUGUGAAAUUCCUUCUCCUGGCUCAUCCUGGCUCAAAAGCUCCCCUACUGAGCACCUUGUGACCCCCACACCUGCCCGCCAGAGAACAACCCCCCUUUGACUGUAAUUUUCCUUUACCUAUCCAAAUCCUAUAAAACUUCCCCACCCCUAUCUCACUUCGCUGACUCUCUUUUCGGACUCAGCCCGCCUGCACCCAGGUGAAAUAAACAGCCUUGUUGCUCACACAAAGCCUGUUUGGUGGUCUCAUCACACGGACGUGCAUGAAAGAAGGGAAUGGAAGGCUUCUACCAAGUCCCUACAUGAUCAGGAACGAGAUAAUACAGGGAUGAAGAAGCCAGACAUCUGAUCCCAAAGAGCCAACAGAAAGGAAUGGAGAGAGAAAUGGUCAUCCCCUCAAAGGAAGGACAAGUUUGGAAUUCUGUGGUUAUUUCUGCCUGGUUGGGACUGAAUGAUGUGAGCUGAUGGUCACCAAGGAAAUCUUUACAGGGAGGUAAUGAAUUGGGAAAUAAGGCAAGAACUAAGGCAGACAAGAAAUCUAAGUAUCACCUACAUAAUCGAUAGAGAUUGAUUGUUCACAUCACUUGUGAUCUCAAGCGAUCUCUAUGGAAUCAGUUGCAUUAUCUGCCACAAAUCAUCAUGUCAGCAGGGUUUUCAUUCUCAGUCAAAAUUACAGACUUCUUACCUAUUUGUGGGGAAAGUGAAAACAGGGGUGUGCUGAUGAGUUUCAAAGCUGAACACAUUGAUUCAUUUCCAGGGAAGAAAAAGCAGCUACCUGGUGAUUACCACAGAGGGGAUUUCGAUCAGCAUGGUGAGAGGAGUGAUUGCAUUUCCUCCGCAUCCACUCAGUCUUCCCUUUGGCUUUUGAGAUAUGCAGAGGACUGAAAGGCAAGUGAAGUGAUGGUUUCCCUGACUCAGCCCUUUGGGUACCUCUUUACUUUGGAUAGAACUGGGGCUUUAGGAAUGAGAUGCUUCUCAUUGAUUUCAUGAAACACCAUCUUCUCAAAGACAAGCUCUCAUCCAAGGGCAUUUACCAAAGCAGCUCUCCAAGCAAAAGCAAAGCUCAGGACUUGAGUUGGUAAUUUUUUAUUUUAGGUUAAAAUUCAAAUUCCUUUGUAGUCCUUUUUUUUUUUUAAUACUUCACCCACAAACAGAGAACUUCUUCUAAAAUUUUACAUUUUCGCGGAGUGUAGCAUGGGUCAUUUCUCUUCUUAAACCCUUUUAUUUACUGUUCAGUAUUCAUUUUAUUUAUUUAUUUAUUUAUUUAUUUAUCUAUCUAUCUAUUUAUUGAACUGAUAAAAGAGGUUACUGAAAUUUCCCACUGGGGUCCCAGAGUUUCUAUAUGGUCACCUAGCAACUCAAAUGUAACACAUUCUGAAUUAUAUAUUGUAGCUUUGCUUAUAUAUUAGAUUACAUCAUUCAGUUUAUUCCAGAAAACAUGGGAGGGAAAAAAUAAAUCAAUACCAAGAGCAGAGAAGCAUUCCAUUGUUUCUUCCCCAAGACUUCCAGGAACAUCUGGUCUCAUUAAUCUCUAGUGCCUUGCUAUAUGUGAUAGACAUAUCCUGAGUUUCCAUUCAUCUCAAGCAUGGUCCAUUGGAAACUGCUGUUGCAUAGCAAUGCCGACAGAUGCUUUUAGAACACAUGUUUUUUUAAAAUGUUCAAAAGGCACAGCAUUGUCUAGCAGGGUGAGAAUGGAACACAACAUGUUUUACCUUAUGGCUCUUGCUGUGGAGAUGGCCCAGGUCAGAAACAACUGAAGGAUCAGUUCAACAAAUUGGGUGGUCUUAGCUUAAUUUCUUACAGAUUACCAGUGUGGAGCAAAUGUUGACAACCACAGAGUGAAUUAUGUUUGAGCUUCCAUAAUGCAGUUUCUGAGAGUCUGUGGUUUAGGACCAUAUAGUGCAGACACAUUAGGAAAUUCUGUGUAAGAAACUUUGGCAAUUGUAUUACUUUAAAAUUCAAAAAGGGAUUCACUUAUAUAAAAAAUAAAGCUGGAAUUCUG